rnacentral:lncRNA from 1 species
CUUAGUAUUUGGAGUGUUCAGACUUUUUUGGUGAUACUGUAGGAUUAUCAAAGUCUGUAGGGUGAUUUGCCCCCUACAUUUAGUAGUUCCAAAGAGACAUUCUUGAAGUUGUUGACUGUGCUUUUUUAUUGCCCAUUUUAGUUGUCCUAAUAGUAUUAAGUAUACCUGUUCUCUCUACCUUGCUCCUAGUGUUAUUGGCUGCUGCAGUUUUUUUUUCUAGUGCAACCAGAUAGAUAACCAGGGUUAUUCAUAGUUUAAAUUAUAAAUGAGAAAUGUCUGAGAGCCAGUUCAGUAUUAGAAUAAAG